AAUCAACGCUGGCGGCGCGCUUAACACAUGCAAGUCGCACGAGAAAGGGAGCAAUCCUGAGUAAAGUGGCGUACGGGUGAGUAACACGUGGAUCAUCUACCUUUUAGUGGGGAAUACCUCCGGGAAACUUGAGAUAAUACCGCAUAAGCUCGAAAGAGGAAAGCCGAAAGGCGCUGAAAGAGGAGUCCGCGGCUGAUUAGCUAGAUGGCGGGGUAACGGCCCACCAUGGCGACGAUCGGUAGCCGGCCUGAGAGGGCACACGGCCACACUGGCACUGAAACACGGGCCAGACUCCUACGGGAGGCAGCAGUGGGGAAUCUUGCACAAUGGAGGAAACUCUGAUGCAGCGACGCCGCGUGAGCGAUGAAGCCCUUCGGGGUGUAAAGCUCUUUCGACGGGAACAAUAAUGACGGUACCCGGAGAAGAAGCUGCGGCUAACUACGUGCCAGCAGCCGCGGUAAUACGUAGGCAGCGAGCGUUGUUCGGAAUUACUGGGCGUAAAGAGUGUGUAGGCGGUGCUCUAAGUCUGUUGUGAAAUCUCCCGGCUUAACUGGGAGGGUGCGGCGGAAACUGGAAUGCUGGAGGGUGGGAGAGGUAAGCGGAAUUCCUGGUGUAGCGGUGAAAUGCGUAGAUAUCAGGAGGAACACCUGUGGUGUAGACAGCUUACUGGACCACUUCUGACGCUGAGACACGAAAGCGUGGGUAGCAAACAGGAUUAGAUACCCUGGUAGUCCACGCCCUAAACGAUGCAUACUUGGUGUGAGCGAUUCAUUUCGUUCGUGCCGGAGCUAACGCGUUAAGUAUGCCGCCUGGGGAGUACGGUCGCAAGGCUG
rnacentral:rRNA from 1 species